UAGUCUUAACACACUGAUGUUUUAGGUAGGCCAUGGGCCACCAGAACCAGCUGCCCCCCUUGUUCCUUCCACGCCCAAGGCGGUAAAGUGCUACUCUGGAUUUUCCUCCAGGGCUCCCCGCGCCGGGUGAAUUUCUCCACAGCGGCACCAGAGGGCGCCCGAACUGAGGGAAACGCCUCCGGACUCCAAGAGGAGCCAAGCAGGCUGCCACCUUCUACUCCUGAAAUCCGUGGGCAACUUGUCUUCGUGCUGAGAGUAUAGGAAGGCCCACUGUCCUGGCAGGAAGGCACCUGGCGUCGGUGCCCAAUCCCAUGGUCCGCCACUAAGACCACCCGUGGGUGCAUGCAGACCAGGCGGACCGGGGCGCCCUGCACCCCAGCUGCUGAAGUUUGCAAGCCGAUCUGCAUUGUCUCCCACUCAGCCGCCCCUCUCAUCAGCAGCCCCACACGCUAAUAUCAAGGGCCCAAAGCAAACAGGUCUUUUCUGUAGGCACCUCUGGAAGGAAUGCGUGUCUGGGAGGCUUCUUAGCUGUCAAGAAGUUCUUACAUUUCUUCAAGAAACUCAACCUAGGUUUCAUCAAGCCAUGCCACAGAGCAAAGAGAAUUAAAUAUUUUUUUUAAGACUACGGUUAAUCCUGCAACCGAAAUAUGAAGAAAAGAAUCCUGCAUACGAAAAGUCUGUGAAAUUUUUACAGGAAGUGUGCAAAAAUGUUGUUUAAAUAUCCUCAGAUGAAGAAGAAUUGAGAUACACACCCUGCUCUUCCCCCCCAAAAAACCCACCAUGAUUUUUAGCCAUCUAUUCUCAGACUGGUGCUCCUAGAAGUCAAUGAAAUAAAAUAGCAUCUUUUGGGGGAAUAUUUCAAAUAUUCUUUGAAAGAUGUUGCUAAAUGUGUAUUUGAGU